rnacentral:tRNA from 1 species
ACCCAGCUGGCUCAGUGGGAAGAGCAUUUGACUCUUGAUCUUGGGGCUGUGAGUUCAAGCCCCACGUUGGGUG